rnacentral:sRNA from 2 species
AUAUCUCUCUGUACGGGAAGGAUGAGAAGCUUCGACUAAGGUUCGAUUCGAGCGCAGCGAGAAAGCGUUGCCGCAGGCAACGACCCGAAGGGCGAAGCGCGCAGCGCUGAGUAA